rnacentral:rRNA from 1 species
AGAGUUUGAUCAUGGCUCAGGAUGAACGCUGGCGGCGUGCCUAAUACAUGCAAGUCGAACGGGGUGUUUGAGCAAUCGGACACUUAGUGGCGAACGGGUGAGUAACGCGUUGGUGACCUACCCCAAAGCGGGGGAUAACAGCCUGAAAGGGUUGCUAAUACCGCAUAUAAUCUAGAGGGCUUAGAAGCUUUAGAUAAAAGGAGAAAUCCACUUUGGGAGGGGCCUGCGUCCCAUCAGCUAGUUGGUAGGGUAAAAGCCUACCAAGGCGAUGACGGGUAGGGGACCUGAGAGGGUGACCCCCCACAAUGGAACUGAAACACGGUCCAUACACCUACGGGUGGCAGCAGUAGGGAAUAUUGCACAAUGGGCGAAAGCCUGAUGCAGCAACGCCGCGUGAGUGAUGAAGGCCUUCGGGUUGUAAAACUCUUUUCAAGAGGAAGAGGAAGGACGGUACUCUUGGAAUAAGCCUCGGCUAACUACGUGCCAGCAGCCGCGGUAACACGUAGGAGGCGAGCGUUAUUCGGAUUUACUGGGCGUAAAGCGCGUGUAGGCGGCUCUAUAAGUUGGAUGUAAAAGCUCCCGGCUUAACUGGGAGAGGACGUUCAAAACUAUAGAGCUUGAGUACGAGAGAGGAAAAUGGAAUUCCGGGUGUAGUGGUGAAAUGCGUAGAUAUCCGGAGGAACACCAGUGGCGAAGGCGAUUUUCUGGCUCGAGACUGACGCUCAGACGCGAAAGCUAGGGUAGCAAACGGGAUUAGAGACCCCGGUAGUCCUAGCUGUAAACGAUGUAGACUAGGCGUUGGUGGAGUAAAAUCCAACAGUGCCGCAGCAAACGCGAUAAGUCUACCGCCUGGGGACUACGGCCGCAAGGUUAAAACUCAAAGGAAUUGACGG